CGGAGGGUGCGAGCGUUGUCCGGAAUCACUGGGCGUAAAGGGCGCGUAGGCGGCCCCGCAAGCGUGUGGUGAAAGCCCGGGGCUCAACCCCGGGUCGGCCGUGCGGACUGCGGGGCUCGAGCACUGUAGGGGCGGGUGGAAUUCCGGGUGUAGCGGUGGAAUGCGUAGAGAUCCGGAAGAACACCGGUGGCGAAGGCGGCCCGCUGGGCAGGAAGGCUCGCAAGAGCCGGCUGACGCUGAGGCGCGACAGCGUGGGGAGCAAACAGGAUUAGAUACCCUCGUAGUCCACGCCGUAAACGAUGGGCACUAGGUGCCUGGGGGAGCGACCCCCCGGGUGCCGGCGCUAACGCAUUAAGUGCCCCGCCUGGGGAGUACGGCCGCAAGGCUG
rnacentral:rRNA from 1 species